UGGGGAAUAUUGGACAAUGGGCGGAAGCCUGAUCCAGCAACGCCGCGUGAGGGAUGACGGCCUUCGGGUUGUAAACCUCUUUCGGUGGGGACGAAGCGCAAGUGACGGUACCCACUAAAGAAGCACCGGCCAACUACGUGCCAGCAGCCGCGGUAAUACGUAGGGUGCGAGCGUUGUCCGGAAUUAUUGGGCGUAAAGGGCUCGUAGGCGGUUUGUCGCGUCGGGAGUGAAAACCAGGUGCUUAACACCUGGCUUGCUUUCGAUACGGGCAGACUAGAGGUAUGCAGGGGAGAACGGAAUUCCUGGUGUAGCGGUGAAAUGCGCAGAUAUCAGGAGGAACACCGGUGGCGAAGGCGGUUCUCUGGGCAUGACCUGACGCUGAGGAGCGAAAGUGUGGGGAGCGAACAG
rnacentral:rRNA from 1 species